GAAGAAAAUCAAGGAGUGAGAGGUACUAUUUCGGGCUUAUAUAUGGUGUGUACUAAUGUCAUUUCUUGUUCUCAGUUUUUCGUAUUUGCAUGACUAUGGAUCAUGUAAUUUUAUGAAUCAGUAGAAGUAUACUACCUGCCUCAAGAUCAUACAAUUUUGAUAAGAUAGGUAACUUAUUCACAGGUAAUCAUAAUUAUUGUUUUAAAUUAAUAAUUUGGUUGUCUGCAGCAGUUUGAUUUGAUUGGUUACAUGUUAUAUUUCUUGAAAAGCUUCUACACCUUCAGUGUUAGGUGUUAAAUUAAUAAUUAAAUUAUCUGCUGCAUGUUUGCAAGGUCUUUGGAUGACGUCUUGAAAAAGUUAUUUCUCGAAUUUAGUAAGAAAUUUGACAGUAGUACCAUACUCUCUCUCACUGUACUUCUCUUCCAAAAGGUCAAAGUUAUUUUUCCUUUAUCAAAUUGAUUGAUUGGUGCAAUGGGGUUCAAUAACUGGGUAAUGGGUCAACAUAGAGGGAAGUUAAAAAAUGCUGUGGGUGUUAGAGAUGCACUCUUCCUUAACAUGUCAUUUUUGUUUGCCAUGCACAUUGAGGCCUCUGAUAUGACCGUAAUUUCUUUUUUUUUUUUU
rnacentral:misc_RNA from 1 species